CUCUUGUAAUAUUAGCACCGUGCUUAUCUAGAGAGGAAGCGCUUCUCAUUAGUCCUCCUUCAACACAAACAUGUUUGCUUCAGCUCCACUGCUGCUGCUGGCUCUCGCCCCCUAUGUGUUCUGUGCUACUGAGCUCAUCCAGCCAGACUCAGUGCUUAUAAAGCCAGGAGAGACUUUAACCAUCACCUGUAGAGUGUCUGGAGCUUCUAUCACUGAUAGCAGCAGCCACCAUGGAACAGCUUGGAUUCGACAACCUGCAGGAAAAGCUCUGGAAUGGAUCAAUGUCAUUUAUUAUGAUGGGGAUAUUUACAAGAAAGAUUCACUUAAAAACAAGUUUGUCAUCUCUCGAGACACUUCCAGUAACACCGUGACCUUACGGGGACAGAAGAUGCAGACUGAAGACACAGCUGUGUAUUACUGCGCUCGUGAUGCACACUGACACAACAAGCUGCAGCGCUGCACAAAAACAUCAUCUUCAUCACAAUUCAGUUCUGUAUUUAAAUAAUAAGCACAUUUAACUGAUUAACUAAUCCCCACAUUACAGACACUUCAACCCACACAUUUAGAUCAUUUAAUCAUUUAACAAAAACUAAUACAAAAGUUUACUCAGUUCAUAGUUAAUAAGAAUAUAUUAUUUAUCUUUUUAAAUGAAAUGCAUCUGAAAGCCCAGUUAAUAUUCCACUUGCUUCACAUGUUUGAAAGCAGUUUUUGACUUCAUAUAAUUAUCUACUGUAGGAAAAUAAAUAACUUUAAGUGGGAACAAUAACACCACUUCAAGUGACACAGCAUCCAACCACCCUGCCCUUGAUUAUUUUCCUAUAACAGCAUGCCCCCAAGUGGUUUAUUCCUUACUGAAUCUGUCACUGAGCUCCUCUGCUUCUGUGCUAUUUGUGAUAAAGGUCCAAGUGUUCAUGUAUUUUAUCAGAAAUAUGCAACAGCAGUUUAUUAUGAAUAUAGGACCUAGUUACUGUUGUUUUAUGGCUUGAGAGGGCAGUCUGUGUAAACUAAACCAUCUCUAACUGCUCAUUAAUACACAUUCAGCUUCUCUCUCCUCACAGACUGCAAUGAUUCACCAUCAUCUCACUCACAUUAAACAACUGAAAGAUAAUCGCUCUUUGUUGAAAACAUUAUCAUAGUAUUAUUGUAUUUUUCAUUACACUUCUCUGCAUAGGGAAUAAUAAAUAACUCUAAAUACUUAAAAUUAUAUCCUUAUUCACGAAGCUUUAAGAACAGAAAAGUGAUUGGCAUGAGCUUCUGACUGAAAGAGUCAGUGAUGAUUGUGACCUGCAUUAUUUCUGGAACUACAUUCAGUUUCUAUUCGAUACAGUUUCUGAAAUGUUUGUGUUGUUCAGUGAUUAUUCAUCAGAAAACUUCAGGUUCUUACACAGUGAUGUACUAAAAGGACAUGAUAUCUAAUGAGUAAAGAGCAGUUAUGGACUUGACAGCAUGAAACACAGCUGCAGUCUUACAGUGAGCUUUUUCUCUUCAUGGCUAUUCCUCUGGGAAUCGUUUUAUGUCUCUAGUGGGCGUGCCAUGCAAACCAAAUCCUGUGUUUGAACCAUUUAUGCUGAUAUACAUUCAGCUCAACAACAUACCAGCAGUUUGUGUUCAUUUACAGCAACAGUGAUCAUUUUAAUUCUUUGAGAUGGGACUAGGCAGAGUUUUGAGUUACUUUGCUCUAGCA